AUUGAACGCUGGCGGCAUGCCUAACACAUGCAAGUCGAACGGCAGCAUAUCCUAGCUUGCUAGGAUGAUGGCGAGUGGCGAACGGGUGAGUAACGCGUAGGGAUCUGCCCUAGAGUGGGGGACAACCCGGGGAAACUCGGGCUAAUACCGCAUAUAUCUUCGGAAGAAAGCUGGGUUUCGGCCUGGCGCUCUAGGAGGAACCUGCGUCCGAUUAGCUAGUUGGUGGGGUAAAGGCCUACCAAGGCCGCGAUCGGUAGCUGUUCUGAGAGGAAGACCAGCCACACUGGGACUGAGACACGGCCCAGACUCCUACGGGAGGCAGCAGUGGGGAAUAUUGGACAAUGGGGGCAACCCUGAUCCAGCAAUGCCGCGUGUGUGAAGAAGGCCUGCGGGUUGUAAAGCACUUUCGGCUAGGAAGAAGUGGGUAGGCGGAUAAUGCCUAUCUCAUUGACGUUACUAGCAAAAGAAGCACCGGCUAACUCUGUGCCAGCCGCCGCCGUAACAC
rnacentral:rRNA from 1 species